UAAAAGGGCGCUCGUCCUGGCACGUUCUCCGUUACAGAGCCAAAGUGCAGACGCAUUGCGCCGCAGGAGCAUCUCCUUCGCUCCGCUCCUGGGCUUCCAGGGACGGGCGGGGGCGAGCGUUCCAUUGCCGCCUUCGAUGGCUCCUUGCGCGCCCAGUGGGGUAUGGCUUUGCAUAUCCAGUGCGUAAUUUUUGUCCUGGGGCCGCGGCUGCACAUUUUGGAUUGCUUGGGGAGCCCACUCCCCUUGCGUGCCUGUGCGCUGCGCCCCG
rfam:Drosophila ficusphila unplaced genomic scaffold scf7180000453052, whole genome shotgun sequence